GUCCCGUACGACUUCGUGGAGUUGUUCGAUUUCAACGAAAAGUUUGUUUUGAAGCUCACGACUAAGGGGGAAGGAGGCGAUGGCGGUGUUGUCGAGCACUCGAGCAUCGGGGUCAUGGACGGCGCCUACUUCAUGGGGAGGGGCGAGAUCCUGCACUGGAUCAAUGCCACCCUCCAGCUCUCCCUCGCCAAGGUCGAGGAGGCUGCGUCGGGGGCGGUGCAGUGCCAGCUGAUGGAUAUGGUUCAUCCCGGAGUGGUGCGGAUGCAUAAGCUAACUUUGAUGCAAAGACCGAAUAUGACAUGAUCCAGAACUACAAGAUUCUUCAUGAUGUGUUCAACAAGCUGUGCAUAAUAAUGCAAGCCAAUAUAUACAACGCAUCCUAUCCCAGGCUCCUCUCCGUCCUCGACGUUAUUUCAAGAACUUGAGAUGGCAUAUGCCAAUUUCAAAUUAGAUUACUAUGGAACUCUGUGAUAUCAAAAGUUCACUCAAUAAUGAAAUAGAACAGCUUCAUUCAGAUUUCCAAGAGCUGAGGACAACCUUUAAGAAGGAAGUGGAUAAGAGAAUAAAAAUGUAGAUUUGUCAGCUAACUUAGGGAGCUUGAAAUUGAAUGAUGCUUCUGAAAAUCAUGAGGAAAGCAGAGGCACUGAGGAUGGCAAACUGAUGAGGCUUUGAAGAUGCAAAUUGGUUGCCUUCAGAAGAUGAGAAGAAAGAAAAAACGGGAGUCUAUUGGUGGAGGGAUUGGAAGCAUCUCAAACAUUUUAGAUGCAUCACAAAUGACAUUGAAAAUAUCUCCCAUACUUCAUACCACAGAUUUUGAUCAACAUGGCAUCAGGCCACGUCAGCAUGAGAUAUGGUUUCCAGAUAAACUUCCUUGUUACCAUUAGGCAUAGCUAUGCUUGUGCGACCGCUGCUCAAGCUAUUUGUGAUGCUACACGGAUGAUUCUAUUUGGAGAUGCCGAUGUGAUGGUGGCUGGUGGAACAGAGUCCACUAUCGAUGCUUUGUCUAUAGGUGGAUUUUCUAGGCAAGUUAAGGCCAUUUGUCUAACAUACAGAUCCAAAAUCCCAUCUUGAUUUUGUGCAAGGUUGCAGAUCCAUCGGUUCCUGGGUUCUUAGCGUGCUGCUGGUUCGGAUUCCCCUGCUGCUUGUUCUUAUGCAAACCUCCCCCCACCCCCUCCUAUGAUGUCUUGUGCUAAUCUGAGUAUAUGUCCAUGCCUAUAAUCUGUUCAUGUAUACAUGGCAGUGAUGUUUUUUUCAGCUGUCCAUGCCUAUGAAAUUUUCCUAAUCUGUACAUGUGACCAUUACAUUGUUAUUUUUUUUUUGUUUCUGCAUAUUUCUUCCAUUCA